rnacentral:lncRNA from 1 species
AUAUGUACUCGGGAACGUUCGUCCUUUAGGUUUUCUCCUGGCGCGUGGGCGCCGCCGAUCAUUUCGGGGCUUAUUUUGGUUCUAAAGCCCGGGGCAGCCAGGUCUCCCUGCCUGGCCUCGGCGGGGACGCGGGACCUGGGGCCCCGGACCGGGCCUAACCGCCCUGGCCGGCCCCCAACUGAUGGUGGCGGUCGGUCCUGACUGUCCUGAUGGCAGCGACCAGGCUGGACUCGGGCUGUGCAGGGGCGAGCGGAGCAGGGCGGGGUGACGCCCGGAGAGCGGCCUGGAGAGCGCGUGCUUCAGAAGGCGUGGGCACCCUGUCCCUUUUGCAGAUGGGGAUGCAGGCCCUGGUGGCGGUGGAGGGGGGAUGGGGGCAGGGACGCUGCCGGGCAGAGGAAGCUGGCCAUUCCUGGGGGAUUCCUGGGAGCCAUGUGGGAGAGGCGUGAGGAAGUGAGACCUUCACCCCGAGACAGGUCCUGACGCACCCUCUGGUGCCUCUACUCAAGUGAGAAGUUUGGCUGCUGUAACUGACUGGGAAGCUUAAAAUAACAGACAAUCAUCUCUCACAUUUAUGGGGACUGGGAAGUCCAAG